CCUGAGAAACCCAAAAGAUCGAAUGGGGAGAUUCAUCGUCAGCGAUUUUGGUACGUGUGCGGUCUCGCGAUGCCGGAGGCUUCGGUCUCCGGGCACGCGUCCGCAUGUUUAUUGCCUUAACCGUCGGCGUGCACUUCUCCCCUAGUAGGACGUCGCGACCCGUUGGGUGUCGGUCUACGGCCCGGGCGGUAGCCUGUCUCGUGUGCGCUUCACGGCGUUUCGCGGUUCAGACCCCUGGUUGCCCGACCGGCUGCUCGGCGGUACUCGCACGGUAUCUAGCCGCAAAUAUUUGAACUGCGUCCGGCCUGUCGCAAGCGAGGCAAGUGUUCCCGGUUGUACGGAUCUAAUGCCGUCACCGGGCCUUGCCGGCUGUUGGUUGACGGUGUCCUGGGACUGGCUAAAUUAAUUAUGAUACCGGUCGGCGACGCUACUGCUUUGGGUACUUUCAGGA
rnacentral:rRNA from 1 species